rnacentral:rRNA from 1 species
UGAGGAAUAUUGGUCAAUGGACGCAAGUCUGAACCAGCCAAGUCGCGUGAAGGAUGACUGCCCUACGGGUUGUAAACUUCUUUUGUACUAGAGUAAAACAGAGUAUGUAUACUCUCUUGCAAGUACAGUACGAAUAAGCAUCGGCUAACUCCGUGCCAGCAGCCGCGGUAAUACGGAGGAUGCAAGCGUUAUCCGGAUUUAUUGGGUUUAAAGGGUGCGUAGGCGGUGACUUAAGUCAGCGGUGAAAGUUUGAGGCUCAACCUUAAAAUUGCCGUUGAAACUGGGCCACUUGAGUGUAAAUGAAGUAGGCGGAAUUCGUGGUGUAGCGGUGAAAUGCAUAGAUAUCACGAAGAACUCCAAUUGCGAAGGCAGCUUACUAAGCUACAACUGACGCUGAAGCACGAAAGCGUGGGUAUCAAACA